rnacentral:lncRNA from 1 species
AAAAAAAAAGAGUUGAAUUUAAAUACUUAAUAAAAAUAAGUAAAAGGGAAAUGAGACAUGAAAAAAGAAGAAAAGAAACACGUAGCAUGUGAUUUCCCCGCCUCCAAAACAACUUCUUUUGUUACAACAUUUAUUCAAGUUAUUACAAUCCCUGAACGAAUGAAUGGAAAAAAAAGAAAGUGAAAAUCUAAGCUAAGUAGGCUUUCUCAAUCCCCGACAACUCUUCAACCCAUCCCAACAAUCAUUGUUCGGAUACCUCAAUCAAAGUAAGGUCCAUGUACAGCGUAAAAGACACACUCGACUACAUACAAAUAGUGAACAUGUUGAGGAAUAAAGAUCAUAGCAACCAUAUAAUAACACAACCUAAUUAUCCAUAGCAAAAAGGCCAGAGUUAUCAAAAUAGAAAGAAUAAAUACAAAAUUAAACCACAACAGAUUUAGAACUAGUCAUAACCACAAUAUUUAUAUAAUUGGAGCAUGUAUAAGUCGAAGAGAAAGUGUACCUGUUUGCUUUCACAGAAUGUCUACUGCAAAAUUAAAGAUAUACAAAGCUACCACAUAGGUAUCGAAUGCAUUGUUAAGAGAACUAACCAGUGAUAUGGCAAAAAUGAGCCGAAGGUAAGAACUUUCAGUGUUCAGACUUAUUGUAGAGAUGAGGAGGAGAGCCCGAGAGAUUUCUCAUUCAUUUUGAAUAGACCGAAAGCUUGAGGGGAUUUUUCCAGUGAUCAGUCCACUGCCAAGUAGAGAGGAAAGGAGUUGUUUAUAUAGCAUAGAAGUAGUAAUCAAUCAAGGAGAGUAAAAUGCAAAAAUAACUCACAACACUAAUCUAGGAAAUCUUUUUCUUAGACAACCGAAUCAGAUUUUCCAAAAUAUAAGACCAAGUACAAAGGGGAUGCUCUAUAAAACCAAGCCGGAAUUUAUUGUAAGAAUAAAGAAAAACUUCCACAAGUUCGAACUUACCAUAAGAGUUAACUCAUCAAGAUAUCCAUGGAGGAAACAAAUAAGAGAGUAUGAAUUAACUGAGCAUAAAUGAAGCAGAAGAGGAGGAAAGCAAAUUGAUUUCGGCAUUCAUUCAUAAAUACAAGAGUACUAAAGAUGUUCCAGUCUUAAUUAAAGAGAGGAAAUCAGUUAACAAUGGAAAAGGAGGCAAUUAUUCAAGAUGGUUGUAAAUCUAACAUGCCAACAUCAAAGUUUACCUUAAACAAUUGCAAAACCGAGGCAAUAUCAAGUCACCAUAUCUAUCAUAAAUCAAGCUUAAGAUAGGAAAGAAGCAGAUUGCUACAAUUACCGCAUAGGUAUACUGUCAUGAGAUCACAUAAGGAGGGAAAGUAUAUUGUUCAACAUCACUUGAUUUGGGGAUCGUAGCAAAAUUACAGGGACUCGAUACAGAGCAUGUAAGUACAAAAUCAAUCUAUCACGCAUAAUACUGAAAGCAAAUUCCCUACUAUUAGAAAUCAUAAACAUACCUAAAUCAGAAGCUAAUACUAGAAGAAUAUUUUCAGAAAUUCUAACAAAGAGUGGAUUUGGAAAGACAAUACCCGAAUCAAUUUCUAAGAAACUAUCUGACAGUGCCUUUGUCUUCACCGGAGUUUUUCGGAACACAUUAGAGAGGACAAUGUGUUUCUGAUUCACUGGUGGUGCUGGCAGGACAGUGAAGGUGGCAAGGGGAAGAGCGGAAGAGAAGGGGAAAGGGGAGAGAGGAGGGAGUGGUUCGCCGGUGGAGCAUCGGCUGGGCUAGGGUUGCUCGACGGAGUUGGCUGGUGGAGCGGUGGUCAGAGGCGAGGUGUGGGCGGUGAGAGGCUGAGGUGCGGUGGUUUUGUGAGAAAUUGGAAUUGAUUUAGGGAUUUGGGGUUUUGGACAUAAUUAGAAAAGAAAAUUGAAAAAAUAAAUGUGGGCAUUGAUCGAAAGUUGUGAGAUCGAUGGAAAUUGGAAUUUAAAAUUGCACCACGUUGAUCAAUUAGAUUAGAAUACAAAAUUGGAUAGAAAUGGAUGGAAUUUAAAUAACUUUGGA